CUAACUUUUUAUGACGCCCACUAUUGUGACGGAUUUUUGGUUCGUCGCAAAAUUCGUCAGAAAAAUGUUUGCGAAGGAAAUUAGCCUACUUUGCGACGGACUCCAGCCGUCGCUAAAACUAAAUUUUCUAGUAAUGGAGAUAUUAAUCAGGUGCAAAAAAAUUAUGUUGCUCCUAAGGUUUCUUAUGAUUGAGUUACAACCUCAAUGGAUUGAUUUGUUUGACCAUAUCUACCGGCAAUGUGAGGUUGUUGGGAUAGUUUAUGAAAACAACUUAUAUAUGACAUGUUUAAGUAAUUAUCACCAUCAUGUCCUUACCAGAGCUACUAUUGCACGGACUGGACACAGUAGAAAUGUCUCUAUCUAUACGAAUGUCUUCAUGCAGAAGCUUUGUUUGUGCUACCAUUUGUUCGCACGAGUGAGGGAUAUUGUCGAAAACGAAUAAUUUCAAGCGCCUCAUGAAUGGUCUAGAACAAUCACAAAGGAAAAUACAAGCAAAGGAUAAAAAAUAGUCAAAGUUCACAAGAUAUUUUACCAUUAGCGAGCAUUUUUCCAUUAACGAAAUUGUUCCAGAGAGUGUAUUGUACGCUGAUAGCGAAGUUUUGGCGAAGUCACUGAAGCAGAAUUGAAGCAAUUCGCUAUCAGCGAAUAUUUCACUGAUAGCAAAAUUGUUCCAUGGAGUAUUCGCCAUUGGCGAAAUUUUGGCAAGAUCAAGUAUUUCAAACAGGAUAAGGGCCAUGUGGAGCCACCCCAUUGGUGCAGAAGCAGAUUUCCAACAUUUCGCUGAUAGCGAAAUAUUUGGCUAUCAGCGAAAUUAUGCAGACUUGGCCCAUAUAAAUAGCUUUCUCUUCUCUUUUCAACCAUUCCAUUACUAUUUUAUUCAUUUUUCUGCAUACUUAGAGGGAGAACUAGGGUUUUUCUAGAGAGAGAAACACAAAGCAAGGUAGUUAAAAGUAGAUUCAACCCAAGAUUUGUCGAGACAUCAUGAAUCUAGGCAUGGAAUCUUCAUCUUUUCUUCAUCCUUUGUCAAGCUAUCAUAAAUAUAUGUAGCUACAUCUAUCCUUGUGGGUUUUGAGGUAUUCAAACAAGCUAUUAUGUAAACUCUUGAUAUUUUAAUAUAUGGUU